rnacentral:rRNA from 1 species
AUGGGAUCUUCUAGGCUGAAUUUGGAAGGAUUUGAGCCAUUUAUCGGUCCAUCGUUGGAGCACCUGCUGCCACAGCUGUCACGUGAGGAGCGGGUACGAUUGCAGAGCCAACUGGGUGAGCACGAGCGCAAAGUGAAGCGAUGGAGUAAGAAGUGCCCUCCAUUACCUUCGACCCACUCAGAAGGAACGCGCGACUCCUCCAUCAUGCCUCACGUCCGCCAUGCUAUCCGCCAUUACAAUGCCAGGCACCCGGGUGACGAGUUUGAUGUUGUGAAGCCUCUGAUGGAAUCCAAUGCUAGCUUCAGGAAUCAGCUGUGGGUCCACGUCAACUUCUGGGCUCGCAGCCGCAAAAGCAAUAAGAUCAAGCGAUUUUUUGCUGAGGUGCACUACGAUCCAAAUCCCAUCGUUGAAGUGUGCAUCGUCAUUGAAGAGCCUCUUGACAAAUACAGGAGGAGCUGCGCAUUCUGUCCUGCCAACUGGGACAUUUUGCACCCUGUGGGUUCCCGUAAGUUUCUUUGUGGAAAUGACAAGGACAGGAUUGAACAACAACUCAAGCCUCGUGUGCUCUCUGAAUAUCUCGGAAUGCCAUUCACUUGCUGCCCGGCCUCCCCCAUUCAAGAGAAAAAAGGAAAGAAGAAGUUUUGA